GGGGGAGUAGCACAGAUGGUUAGUGCAUUAGUUUGUCACACUAAAGGUCGGGGGUUCAAGUCCCCUCUCUCUCG
rnacentral:tRNA from 1 species